rnacentral:rRNA from 1 species
GAUGAACGCUAGCGGCAGGCCUAAUACAUGCAAGUCGAACGGUAGAGUACUUCGGUACUUGAGAGCGGCGCACGGGUGAGUAACGCGUACAUGACCUACCUUCAAGACCGGGAUAGCCCUGGGAAACUGGGAUUAAUACCGGAUGUGAUAAUAAGUAUAGAGAUUUAUUAUUAAAGUUACGGCGCUUGGAGAUGGGUGUGCGUCUGAUUAGCUAGUUGGUGAGGUAACGGCGCACCAAGGCGACGAUCAGUAGGGGGCGUGAGAGCGUGAGCCCCCACACGGGUACUGAGACACGGACCCGACUCCUACGGGAGGCAGCAGUAAGGAAGAUUGGGCAAUGGGCGAAAGCCUGAACCAGCCAUCCCGCGUGCAGGAUGAAGGUCCUAUGGACUGUAAACUGCUUUUAUCAGGGAAGAAACGCUUUCAUUCAUGGGGGUCUGACGGUACCUGAGGAAUAAGCACCGGCUAACUCCGUGCCAGCCGCCGCCGUAAAAC